UACGUAGGGGGCAAGCGUUGUCCGGAUUUACUGGGCGUAAAGAGCGCGUAGGCGGGAGAGCAAGUCCGGUGUGAAAGCCCCCGGCUCAACCGGGGAAGGUCGCUGGAAACUGCUCUUCUUGAGGUGGACAGAGGGAAGUGGAAUUCCUGGUGUAGCGGUGAAAUGCGUAGAUAUCAGGAGGAACACCAGUGGCGAAGGCGACUACCUGGCCUGUUCUUGACGCUGAGGCGCGAAAGCUAGGGGAGCAAACGGG
rnacentral:rRNA from 1 species